AGGAGCUUGCUCCGCCCCGACGACGAGUGGCGAACGGGUGAGUAAUACAUCGGAACGUGUCCGCUCGUGGGGGACAACCAGCCGAAAGGUUGGCUAAUACCGCAUGAGUUCUACGGAAGAAAGAGGGGGACCCGCAAGGGCCUCUCGCGAGCGGAGCGGCCGAUGACUGAUUAGCCAGUUGGUGAGGUAACGGCUCACCAAAGCAACGAUCAGUAGCUGGUCUGAGAGGACGACCAGCCACACUGGGACUGAGACACGGCCCAGACUCCUACGGGAGGCAGCAGUGGGGAAUUUUGGACAAUGGGCGCAAGCCUGAUCCAGCUAUUCCGCGUGUGGGAUGAAGGCCCUCGGGUUGUAAACCACUUUUGUAGAGAACGAAAAGACACCAUCGAAUAAAUGGUGUUGCUGACGGUACUCUAAGAAUAAGCACCGGCUAACUACGUGCCAGCAGCCGCGGUAAUACGUAGGGUGCGAGCGUUAAUCGGAAUUACUGGGCGUAAAGGGUGCGCAGGCGGUUGAGUAAGACAGAUGUGAAAUCCCCGAGCUUAACUCGGGAAUGGCAUAUGUGACUGCUCGACUAGAGUGUGUCAGAGGGAGGUGGAAUUCCACGUGUAGCAGUGAAAUGCGUAGAUAUGUGGAAGAACACCGAUGGCGAAGGCAGCCUCCUGGGACAUAACUGACGCUCAGGCACGAA
rnacentral:rRNA from 1 species